GACUGAAAGCAGGCGUGCUGAUUAUGAACAUUCGCUACGAAGAAAGCUUCCAAAGAGCAACGGAAUACUGCGCCUAUUAACGCUUCACCGUAGCUGCAAGAACGCUCUGAAGAAAACGACCGUACCUGCCGGGUAUACCUUGAUAGUUCUCAAGUUAUGACCUUGAGGGACUUGAAUGCGUUGACCAGGGCCCUCAGCAGAGUAGAUUAUUGGGAAAUACACCGCAUGAGCAACGCGCGUAUCCUUGACAACUUUAGCAUUUUGGGAAUGCCAACGAAGCAAGAGAUGAUUGAUCGAGUGCGUGCACACCUGCAAGCAAUACACGUGCCGACGCGCCGGCUUCAACUUCUGGCUGCGGCGUAUUGUUGGCUUGCAGGCCCAAGUGACGUGCUUUCACCGUGGGAGCUGUAUCGUCUCAACUCGCUCAACGUGAAUUUAACCGACUUUGACCUACAUGAGCGCAUUGGGAGAGAGCUGGGAAUUCAAGGUUGUCCUGAAGCAUUUGUGUCGAGGGCCGAAGCAAGUCGCCGCUAUGCGUGCAUUGUAGUACCGGACAUCGUUCCCACGAUUGAGCACUGCGUCAUCUGUGUUUGCGUCUGGAACAGUCUGACCUACGUGGCUGUCUGGGCAUCCGAGUCGGUGGGUAGGGAACAUCUUCGUUCUGCCCUUGCUACAGCACUCUGCGGUAAUCCCGAGAACAUGCGGAUUGGUUCAUUCGAGACCCUUUCAAAGGCAUAUAUAGCAGCCCGUUGCAAUGAAGUGGCAAAACAGGCCAAGUCCUAAGCCACGGAAUACCACUCCACGGCGACGUUUAGAAUCACGGAUACCUGGAGGGUUCUGACGUAUGCCAUUUUGAGAGGCAGCUCGCCCCAGUAUGAGAUGGUGACGACGUCAGCGAGCUGCCAAAUUUUUGUGCAUGGGCUGUGAAGAAUCCCACCGGUUCACCUUGCGGCAGUGCCUGGAUCUUCACACAAGAGGAUGGCUUUGUCUUGCUUGCUACUGGCAUGUUCUUCCCAGUAGAUAGGGAAACUCUCGGCAUGAGUUUUGCAGUUUCCCUGUAAUCAUUCACUAUCUCUGACAAACACGCAGAAUGUGUGCACAAAGAGCAUGAAGAAAUUUAUCAUAAGGUUUGCAAGUAUACUUUGACUAGAUUUUAUUCUUUUUAUACAAACUUGAUUUUCUUUUCAGGUUUUCUUAUGUAUGUACAGAAAAUCACAAUCGCUUUUACUUUCUGUUUUCCGGAAGUUGUUUAGUAGAACGCAUGCUCAAGAAGUUAUGCAUGGACUAUUUAUUAUUGGAAGUAAGUGCUUUUGCGAAAAUUGUAUUGUCCUAGUGUGUAAUAAAUGCACUAGCUGAUA
rnacentral:lncRNA from 1 species